UACGUAGGGUGCGAGCGUUGUCCGGAAUUAUUGGGCGUAAAGAGCUUGUAGGCGGUCUGUCGCGUCUGCUGUGAAAAUCCGGGGCUCAACCCCGGACUUGCAGUGGGUACGGGCAGACUAGAGUGUGGUAGGGGAGACUGGAAUUCCUGGUGUAGCGGUGAAAUGCGCAGAUAUCAGGAGGAACACCGAUGGCGAAGGCAGGUCUCUGGGCUACUACUGACGCUGAGAAGCGAAAGCAUGGGGAGCGAACAGG
rnacentral:rRNA from 1 species